CCGCGCGCAGGGCCAAGACUCUCCGCCUCUGACGCAAUACCAAACGCGCACGCCCCGCGCGGGAGGGAGCUAAGCGACGAGCUCGGCCCCGCCCACCCUCCGCGGGCGCCCUUUACCCUGCUUGGAUGGUGGGGUUGGGGAGACCCUAGGGAGGGUGUGGAAUGAUACCCAGCCGAUGAGGAGAAAGACCGCUUCAUAAAGUGUUGUUAGAGAUAUUUGCAUUUUCCUGCUGAUUUUGUGGAGUGAUAAUUAGCUACUUUUUUCUUCGUUUCUUUGUUUUUGGGGGGUGGGAUGGAGACGUGCUCAUUCCUAUAAUCUGCAUACCCUCCUCUUUCUCUGGCUGUUAACUUUGUCCAGUGCACUUUGUUUAGGGAAUUGCUUUGAUUUUAACUGGCCUAAAGCGAAAUACCCACAACUGAAGCUUUAUUUUAACUUGCUCCGAGUUCUGUCAUAAAAACUGUUAUUGAGCACGAUAGCAAAUCGUGAUGCUUCCUGGCAAUCUGAUGAUGGACCAACAGGUGGAAUCCUGGAAGUCAACGAGGAGACAAUCAAUACAUUUUUGCAUAUUAUUGUCUUGAGCUAUAUUUCAUGGAAGAAGAAGAAGAUAAAGAGGAAGAGGAAGAGGAAGAGGAAGAAAGAGGGAGAAGAUAAGAAUGCCAUUUUAUUAUCACACUCAAAUUUGCAGAAUUCAAAUUUAUCAGUCUUCCAAGCAGUUUCAUUGAAGAGUGAGGAGCGAGAUUUUUUGUCAUCUGUAAGCUUUCUUAGGAAAGCAAGGACUA